rfam:Solanum tuberosum cultivar DM 1-3 516 R44 scf00052_105, whole genome shotgun sequence.
AGAAAGCACCGGGGGUGUCUGAAUCAGCUUCAAAUGCUGACUGAUCAGGCUGAGAAAGUCCCUUUGAACCUGAACGGGAUAAUUCCUGCGUAGGGAGUGUGCAAUUUUCUUUUC